AUUUCGCUCUUUUGGUGUACUUUCUCGCAGGUAGGUUAACAUCGAUUUUGAUCAUCAUAAAAGGGUUGGAGGAAUGUAGCUUCGAUCUCGUAUUGAAGUGUUAUAGCCUUUGGUAAAUGUGAUGAUUAGGAUCGAGGAUUGCAACGAAUACCCUUUUGGGCUAUCCGCCUGAUCUCUGAUACGUGGCCUUGGUAUUGAAAGCGUGCUUAUGAUAUUAAGGUAUUACGGUCAAAAGGUUAGAACGGAUUACAUUCGUUAAGGAUGUUG
rnacentral:rRNA from 1 species